rnacentral:rRNA from 1 species
GUGAGUACUUUGGAUUGGCGCUAUCGGAGUUGCUUUUGUGAUUCCUUUAGACUGCCGAGAAGUCGCGCAAACUAAUCUAUUUAGAGGAAGUAAAAGUCGUAACAAGGUUUCCGUAGGUGAACCUGCGGAAGGAUCAUUACCGAAUGACCGUAUGUGUUAUACACUGUGAACUGUACGCUUCAAAACAGAGUGGGGUAUCUUCUGCUAAGAAGAUUUGAAAGGUAAUCAUAACGUGACAACCUGCCCCGCUUUGAAACUUUGAAACUUAUAUAUAUACACCAUUAUAUUCCAAGCGUUAACUAUUUUUAGUUGACUCAAUGUAAAAAUUGUGACAACUUCUAACGGUGGAUCUCUUGGCUCGUGUAUCGAUGAAGAACGUAGCCAGUUGCGAUAAGUAAUGUGAAUUGCAGAAUGAAGUGAAUCAUCGAAUCUUUGAACGCAAAUUGCACUCUCUGGAUAUCCGGGGAGUAUGCCUGUCUGAGUGUCGUGUCAAACCUAAACACACACUUGUGUGUGUUGCUUGAGAGCUCUUGUUACUUGUAACAAGUCUCUUGAUGUUACUGUGAGUUGUUCGCACUAGUGAACAGAAGGCUCAACUUGCUUCUGUCUUUCUGACACUUGUGUGGGCACAUUAUUGUGUUUGUACUCUUUGCCAGUCCGAACAAUAUAUAACAUCUUUGACCUCAGAUCAGACAAGAUUACCCGCUGAAUUUAAGCAUAUUAAUAAGCGGAGGAAAAGAAACUAACCAGGAUUCCCUUAGUAACGGCGAGUGAAGCGGGAAGAGCUCAAGCUUGAAAUCUCUGUUGCUUGCAACAGCGAAUUGUAGUCUACGGAAGUAUUGUCAAGGCAAUGUGUUUGUGCUCAAGUUGCUUGGAACGGCAUGUCAAAGAGGGUGAGAACCCCGUUUGCGGCACAAAC